AAUCGGAAGACCUCUUAUGCUCAGCACCAGCAGGUCCGCCAAAUCCGGAAGAAGAUGAUGGAAAUCAUGACCCAAGAGGUGCAGACAAAUGACUUGAAAGAAGUGGUCAAUAAAUUGAUUCCAGACAGCAUUGGAAAAGACAUAGAAAAGGCUUGCCAAUCUAUUUAUCCUCUCCAUGAUGUCUUCGUUAGAAAAGUAAAAAUGCCGAAGAAGCCCAAGUUUGAAUUGGGAAAGCUCAUGGAGCUUCACGGUGAAGGCAGUAGUUCUGGAAAAGCCACUGGGGACGAGACAGGUGCUAAAGUUGAACGAGCUGAUGGAUAUGAACCACCAGUCCAAAAAUCUGUUUAAAGUUCAGACUUCAGUUAGUGUCAAAUAAAAAGUGCUAUUUGUGAAAAAAAAAAAAAAAAAA